CUUGGCCACAUCGAUGCUGGCAGUUCGAUGAUUGCGUGUUAAUUAAACGAUUGCACGCACAGUUGCACAUUCGUUAUAAUGGAAAAGAGAGAGUUGCCGUGUGGCAGGAAGAGGGUGUUAAAGAGCAUCAGCAGGCAAAUGCGGAACAUACAUUUUUCCCUCUUCGAGAGUGCAGAUUUAUGGCCGAGCAGCUGUCACAAAAGUCUGUCCUUGGUCCUCCCUUUUGCCACUUCCGUUCCUCCAGCCCAUGAGCCCUUUGGUCCUCCGAGCCGGAUUUCGGCCCAUUCGCAGAAGCGCGCGAGAGUGUGUGAUAGUGUGGACUCGCGUGGCAUACACAACUAACAACUACACCCACGUAAGCACAAGUGACAGGUAAUUUGUGCAUAAAAGCGUGUUCACGUGGGGUGGCAGAAAUUGGGGAAGAGAAAGCACAGGCACCACCCACGCAUGCAUUAUUCAGUGCAUUGCCAGCUAUUCUCCUGCCUGCGCACACUUCAAAAUUUUCGUAAUUGUACCUCAAUGGAAAGGCAUUUUUUGCACUAUUCAACGGAUUUCCAAGGGACAGUUGUGACAUCGUUGUGAUGGCAUAUGUGGCCAUAGUCGGGUACGCCGUUGAAGUCCGUAUCCUGGUUUAUUAUCCUAACAAGCUGGGCCUGUCACUGUUCAUGCCCGAUAAAUAUCCCAGUUAAUUAUCGAAUUUGUUUCUGUGAAAGUUUUGGAAGGAAGAGUCUUGUGAUGAAUACUACGCAACACAAACGCAUGAACGUGAUGAACUAUGUUGUGAUGUCGGCGCCACAUCUUCAGCUACAGAAAUUUGCAUAGAUUGAACUUUCAGCAAUACGAGUGCGAGUGCGAAUCCAUCGUCACAUGUGGCAACAUGCAAAAUUAUGAAAAUAAAGAUGCAGACACAGCAUACGGAGCAUUUGAGCGGGGUACUGUUGGUAUGCGUUCUUAAAUGUUUGACGAAAUUUCGUUAAUGGAAUUCGAUUCGCGGCUCACACAAAACGUGAUUGGAUUUCGGCCAGAAGGGAACAACUUUGACAAAGCCAGCCAGACAAUAGCAGGAUGAUGCGAAGAUGAUGAACAAAACCGGUUGUCAGUCAAGCAAAAGGAUCCUUUUCCUAAUUGCGAGUUGAGGCUUCCUUCCUUAUCGACUCUUAUCGUCACCCUCAAGGGCGUCUUAAAGUCAAUGCAAAUUUAAUUAAUACCCAGCUAGGAACAGUACCGCUAAGUGGCCAAGUGCGCCGGCACAUUGUUCUGCAGAAUAAAUUCCGAUGAGCAGCUGCUGCCCUCUCAGGACUCGCCUUGGAUUUCCCGGCAUUAUCCUAAGCAUCUCAAACAAUAACAAAGCCCUGGGCUAUUAGAGUUAGGCAGCAAACCCAUGUAAUAAAUUUCAGCCUGUCAGCCAGUUGCCUCCAGCGGCAACAUGUGCACCCCAAUCAUCAGCCCUUAGCAACUUAUUUACAGAGAUUGAGUUGAAGCCAACACAGAGCUGUGGCAAGAUUUUAGUCACAGAUGCCAUCGCGAUGGGACAGGUGAAGAGUGUAAUUAUAUUAGCAGAGAAAGGUGCGAGUCAUUAAUCGUGCGUAGCACCCAUUAGUUUCGGCUUCAUUGGCAGUUUUAAAUCGUACACAUAAAGAAGAUAAAUCCUUCAGAUACAAAAUAAGUGCAGUUUCAUAUACUCGCGCUGCGUCCAUGUAUCUGGAAUCAGCAUGCUUAAUCUCACUUUUUGGCGUUAGUACCAGCUCGGGAAUUGAUCCCGAUUAAGGAUAUACUUUAUAUGGUCGAAACCGUUUCCCUGUACCUGUUACAUAGUUUUAACGAAUCUAGUACACCCUAUUACUCUACGAGUAAUGGGCAUAAAUAUCAAAGAGUGUUUAUAAUAUAAUUUUAUAUGAGUGAUAACAAAUUUAUUUCAUUUAUAAAAUGGUAAUAUAUCGACUAUCGAAUUCAUUCACUUUUUUUCCAUAAAAACGUGGAUAUAAAUUCAUUUGUACAGAUUUCCAGGAAAUCUCAACAUUUGUAUCGAAAACUUUUGCAAAAUUGUCAAAUAAUCCGAAACAUGCAUAUCUUUUUUAUUUCUCUUUUCAAUUUAAACCAGAUCUCUUACAUGUACGUACACACAGUCGUCUAGCCUUACCAGAUUGCUAUGAAUAUUUUCGGAAAUUUUACGGUUGACCUUUUCUUGUUUCCUGCACCACAAUCGAAUUGAAUUCAUUUCAUCGCGGGAAAAUGUCAAUGUCAAUACCCAUUUAAUAAAGCUGGGGCGGCAUGCCGAUACUUAAUACGAAGCCAUGUGCCUUACCUCUGCUGUGAGACUCGUCCCAGGAGCAGCAGAGGAAGCCAGGUGUGUGUGCUAGGCAAAUAUUGUCUAAGGACCCGUGGGAAUAAUAGCACACAGCAGCACGCGAGAGCAUUCCCCUACCUCCGUUGAGUCCAUACCCCUUACUGGUCGGGUGUUCACGGUGAACGCGGGUCUUAUAAAUAACUUUAUCGAUACUCGAUACAUACCUACCUACCUGGUCGGCUCCGGGAAGAUAUGACGUUGGUACCACUAAGAUCUGAGUGCUUCAUCACAAGCAUUUCUAGCGUUUAUAGCUCCCGAGACACGCCCAUGACCAGAUAAACUCGGUUAGUGAAAUAAUAUCUACAUAUACGUUAUGUGGACGAUACAUCUACGAGUAUGUUUUGAAUAAAAAUCGUAGCAAAAUCAAAUAUUCGAUUUCAGAGCACAGGGUACUUCUCUGUCGAAUCAUCCGACAUACGUUGAUAUCAAGUGGCGGGCGGCAAUCAAAAGCGGCUCUUGUUUCCAGCUCCUCACCCCCUCGACUUCCCCUGCAAUACAUUGUAGCGACACAAUAUAUAUGUUUCCAAACAUUUCGAGUGAGUGUUGGUUACCGUUGUCCUUUGACCCGUAUGAGGAUGCCACGUUUGCGGAUUUCGUGCCUCGUAUCAGCUUUUAAUUUUACGCGCAACUGCUGAGCUGCAGUGUCAGCGGCUUUCGUGGAGUCAUGGGACAGCGGAAUUAUCCUGCCAGGCUGCAUGGUUUUUGCGAUUAUGCAAAUAAACGCAUAUCUUUACAUUUUGCCGAUUUAAAAACGAGCAGAUGCUGAUAUUAAUUCAUUCAGGACGCAAGGUGGCCUUAUUUGCUUAGAGCCUUGUCCCAGUAAAUCUACUUUAGCGCCACGGGAAAUCAGAACGAAUGCCGCACAACAAUGAGCGACAUGACAUGAACUGCCGCCGGUUAAUUUUAUUACCUGGCAGAUACUUACACAAUCAACCAACAUGACUCUUCCUCACAGGUAUACAUGUAUGUAUGCAUGUAUGUAUAAAGCGUUUUAAGCCGGAAAUAACGCACAGUGAUUCAAUUUGUGGCAUGUUACUUUCAUUAUCGUUCCUGACAAGCAAAUUAACAGUACUUUUUAUUUUUCAAAACUUUUAUUUUAUAUUCUUCCUUUCAACAAUAGGUUUACUUAAGGCUUGACAUACAAUUUGAAAUGACUUUAUAAAUUCUGAUUUGUAAACCGAGACUUUCUCAGACUGUAUUUCAGCACAAUUCCGCUUAAGCUCUUAAUGAAAAGCGAAUACAAUCGCAGAGUAAGCGGCACUCGCUUCUGUGCCAAUUAUCUCAUUUUUGAAAUUUAAUUUGCAAUGACAACAAAACGAAAUACAUUAUCCACGUAUGAGAUUAAUUACACACGUUCAGGACACACGGAUGCGCGGUAUGAAUAAUUAAUUUAAAUGAUAAACCAUUAGGUAUCCAAAUUUAUAUCAGAAGUUAAAUGGUUCAAUAUAAUACAGACACCGGUUUAAUUAAAAGCUAAUGUCUAAAUAGAAAAGGCAUACAAUAUAUAAAAAGUUGUACAUAUAUCUACCCAAAUCCAUUUUGUCGGAUCUUGUGUAGUAUUUUUAGUGAUGCUGAUGAAGAAUAUUUAUAUUGAGGUAAUUUUCAUCGAAUAUAGUAUACCUAUUUUAAAUACCAGAAUUUUAAUACUAAAUUGAUCCAACUCAAAAAAAAAAUACUUUAUACUAGUAACGGAUAUAAGCAAUUUGAUAUAGGAAAUUUUUGAAGUUGUUGGUGCCAUUGUUACUUAAUGUAUCUUGUGCUAUAAUGUAACUUAAGAAUAUUAAUUAAGUACACCAUCAAAAUCGACAUCACUAAAAUUUGCCAUACAAUUUUCUUCUUGCAGUAUUUUAUUAUAUGUUUAAUGGCAUGAAUUACGAAGACAAUGAAUUUUUUUUAAUAUGAAAUUGUUAUUAUUUAAUAAAUAUUUUGUUAAGCUGAACUAAGGUACCACAACAUUUUUUAAUAUUUUAAAGAAUAAAUUA